CACUACACUACAUGUACCUGCCCAGUUCCAGUCCUUUCACUGCAAGACCAUCAAAGUUGCCGUGUGCCCUGAUUUGUUUUCAAGCCACCAGAACCUCAACCUCACUUAGAUCUUGUACCUGCCUGCCUGCCUGUAGUUUUCCCUGCCAUCCUGUGGCUUCAACUUCUGUUUGGACUUCGCUUGCUGUCCUGGUACCUAAGUGGUGGAACGAGCUCUUCAUUGACGUCAGGACAGCAGAAAGUCUACACAUCUUCUGCCGCAGGCUAAAAACCCAUCUCUUCUGACUGCACCUUAGUGGUGUCAAAGUAAAAUUCCUCGAUGGACCAACCAGCAGAUGGAGGAGCUUGGUUCUCUUACCGGAGCGCUUCCAUUAUCCCGUGGUUUCAUCAAAGGCGAGGGCUGUCUGCAGGCUUCAAAUCUCCCAAAUCUGGUCAACUGUUUGGGUAAAAGAGAUUAAAAUGUGUUUUGUGGUGACAGAUGGGCACAUUA